rnacentral:rRNA from 1 species
GAAGAAAGCUGGCGGCGUGCUUAACACAUGCAAGUCGAACGGAAAGGCCUGCUUUCCCUUGUGUAUUGCGGGUACUCGCGUGGCGAACGGGUGAGUAACACGUGAGUGAUCUGCCCCCAACUUUGGUAUAAGCCUGGGAAACUGGGUCUAAUUCCCGAUAGGACUGCAGUGUGGUUCCUGUGGUUGAAAACGAUUUUCUAGUGGUUGGGGAUGAGCUCGCGGCCUAUCAGCUUGUUGGUGGGGUAAUGGCCUACCAAGGCGGCGACGGGUAGCCGGCCUGAGAGGGUGGACGGCGAGAUUGGGACUGAGAUACGGCCCAGAGUCAUACGGGAGGCAGCAGUGGGGAAUAUUGGACAAGGGGAGGAAGCCUGAUGCAGAGGCGCCGCGUGGGGGAGGACGGCCUUCGGGUUGUAAACUCCGUUCGAACGCGAGGAAGCCACCUGGUUGGAAGGGUGGUGACGGUAGUGGUAGAAGAAGCACCGGCUAACUACGU